AAAAGAAAUUGCCAACAAUGUCAUUGAUGGCUAUGGAGAGAUCCUAUUUGCUGACUAAAGGAGAAAACGACAACAACCAACUUCAUAUUUUUUCACAUCCAUGAGCUUAAUGACGGAAAAUCAAACUUUCCGAGUCUCAUUAUUUGACAAGCAUCUUGAAACAGCAUGGAGGAACUACAAGUUCCUUCAUUUCCCAAUAACUACUGGGGGUAAUAAGAAGUCAACAGAUGGAAAUCACUGGACCUUGCUAGUCUUGGACAAACAAGACAAUUUAUGGAGGUUCUACAACUCGCUAAGGCCAAUGAGGGAUGAUGCACAAGAAAAAUAUAUCAAAGAUGCAAAACAAUUGCAAGAUUAUGUGGAGAAUUUUUUGAAAGCUUACCUUGAAAGAGAGGCAUAAUCACAACCCUCUUUCAAAUUGAUGGACUCACAAAACACAAAUUAUGACUUUGAAUAUGUCAACAAUGCUCCACAACAAGACAGUGAUUCUCUGGAUUGUGGCGUCUUUGUAUGCUACAUAAUGAGACAAUAUAGCAACCAUGAACCUAUCAGCUCUAAAUUGUCCACACAAGACGUAAGGUUGAUGAGGGCAGAAAUCAUAGAGAGAUUUGUGACCGAAGUCGGCCGGUUAUGGACAUAACCAAUUCAAAUACCACCAGAAGAAGAACCAAAAGUAUAAUAGUGAAAGCACACUAGUGAAAGGAAAACAAUGUACACAAUGUAAUUAGGUUAACCAUUCAAUUUGUUUUUUCAUACAUUAAAGGAAUGAUGAUGUUUGACAUAUAUGUAUAUAUCUUUUUUUGACUAAUGUAAAUUUCAUAGCUAUCAGUGGUUAAAUAUAUAUAUUUUUUAUUGUGA